rfam:Punica granatum cultivar Dabenzi scaffold103, whole genome shotgun sequence.
GGGGAUCGGUGAUGUUAUCAAUCUCUGCGUUAUCUAUCUGAAGCUUCCUUCCGAUGAAGGAAGUGAGCUGAAGAUGACCUAUUCGAUACUGAGAUCUUUC